AAUUUUCAGAUUCUGAGAUGUCAGAAGUGUAGCAUGCCCUUUUCCAUUUUCUGGAAAUGUUGUCAAAUGAUGCUGAAAUUAUCAAAAAUUCUGGCCUGAUGCUUGGUCCAACCCUUAUCUGGCUGUGGUGCCUCCAUCAACCUGACGCUCUUUAGUAACCGGUCCAAGGCUUUGUAUGGAGGCCACCAUGAGUGGCCAUCUGAGUACCAGGACUUUGCUACAGGACCGGUACUCCCUUCUCCGAUGAACUCCACUAUCAGAAAUGUGUUGGUCCUGAGAUGCCAUCAACUAGAUGAAUACCAAGUUCUGAGGAUGGAAUGGGAUAAUCAAAAAAAGGUUCAUGAUUGUUGAAGGUAGUGUAGGCCACGUAAAUGUCAUCCCUCGCUGAAAUUAUAUUUUGCAGCUUUGCAACUUUCCCAUCAAUGUAAACAAAACUGUUGGCCUGGUCCAGUUUAAGAGUGUAAGAGCAGGUUUUUAUUUCUUUGUACUGUGAAGAUCCAUGAAAACAUUCAGGUAGAGGGCCAGCCAUGUGUUGUUUUCUGAGCAGUGGUGGGUUGUUUUUCUCCUUUUUUUUGCUGCAGCUUUGCAUUUCUGAGAACCUUCUCACAAUUUGACUCAGUGGACAUGUAGGUUUCCGCAGGAGUCUCUUCAGCUUGUUAAGGUGAUCCUCAUACUGGAAAGCACUGAAGUUGUCGAGGACACCAUGGUGUUUUGCAUCUUCUGCAAGAUGUACAAGACAGUGGAUGUUGUAGGACAGGAAUUUGGGGCCGUAUAGCUGUCCAAAGUGUGUGACAAAAAGUCGCAGAAUAUCAUUGGCAUAGUCGAUGUGAUCACCAAUUAGGCUGUUAUUGCACAAGAUGAAGAUUCCCACAAAAAACAGCAGGAAGUUUUUGUACACCUCCGUGCUGAGUAGGUCUUUCAGCAUAACAGGGCCUGUGUACAAUAAAAACUGUCUAAACUCGGUCGCCUUCCAUCGAUCUAUUUCCCUCACUGCCCUUGGUUUGUGCGCAAAUUCCAUAGGCACAUUUUUUUUGGCACCAACCAACCUUUCUGUCAGCACAGUGGCUUGAAAUCCUGACAGCCUGCAAGUUAGAGGACCCAGUCGAAGCCACAAGUGGAGAAGCCGCCUCAUGACACCAAGGCACACAAGGUGCAUGUAAUCAAGGGGGAAUCCAGAGACCAUAUCCAAGGAUGUUUCUUCUAGUGGUGAGAUGCCAUGGUGGUGAUCUGGAUCAGUCUUAUUUCUGAAGUUGUCAUUAUUUCUAAGAGGCAUGUCAUUUCUAGGGAAUGUCAUCCUGUUCUCCAGGUGCACACCAUCCUGAAUGCACUUUUCGCAUCCAUGGUAGCCUGCAUGGCCCUUCACUUUUUUCAGAAAUGCACGUGCAGAUGAAGUCCUCAAGAUACUCAUCCAGUGAGCUUGGUUUACUAUCACCACAAAAUAAACCUAUUGUCACAGGUUCCUCCUGCACCAAAUGUUGCACAGUUACAAGAAUGGGCCAGAAUUGAGUUGCUGAACUCUUGUAGAGAGGCAGACCAUCGAUGCUCACCUGGAGCUUCAAAUUGCUCACAUUCCGCAAAAUGUCCAUGUUGUUGUAGAGUACACCUGAAAUGGAUUCCAGUAGACCAAAAUGAUAGUACUGGCCACCAGCCUUGUUUUGGACUUCAGUUCUAUUUGAACGCACUGUUCCUAAUAGUGUCCUGGCAUCUUUUGGCAGAUUCAGAUCAUGCUUGCGGAGGAUAUUAAGUAAUGAAUUUAGUGCCACAUGUGUUAUUUGAUGUUCUGUUGCCCAGGUUGCCAAGUCAUCAUUAAGGGAAUUUGGAUGCAGUUCAGAAUCUGUGUCUGAGUCUGUGUCAGAUUCACUGCUAUGUGAAGCACUUGCCAUGGUGACACAUUCAGGCUCAUCAAUAUGGGACAAACCGUCCAUAAAGUCAUUGUUGUCAUCAGCGAUGCUGCUUUUGUCACUGUUCAUGCCACCAUACUGUUCCAUGUUCCAUGAUGAUGGUAGUGAUGCUUCCAUUGACUGGAGUUGUUUGCCCACCUUAGCCUUGGCUUUUCUUCGCAAUGUCCAGUAAGAUGUCUUUUUGCAAUCCAUGGUACUGUGAUAUUAACACACACAGAAAAUGCAGUGCACUGACCUGAUAAGCCAAAUGCAGUGGUUCUCAACUCAAGUUUUGGAAGACCCUUGCAUUGCACAUUUUGGAUGUCUUUUACAUGUGGUUUAACUCAUCAUAUAAUAGAAUCCCCUUAACCCAACAGAGCAUGCUAGAUGAGACGGACAUCCAGAAUGUGUCGUGUUAUAGGUCCCCAAGAUUGGAAUUCAGAACCAAUGUUUAAUAUGCGUGACAAUGCGUAAUGUCUAAUAAUUCUGUCACAAUAAAUACACAUACCUUGGUUUUGAUCAAGUGUGAACUGUGGAUAUCGUCGUUGAGUAAGUGUGGUUGACUGUAGAGAACUUUCUGUGAUUGGGGAAGCAAUAUAACAGGUAAUGUCAGUUUUGUCGUUGUGUUUAAAGUAUUGGAUCUAAAUGUUUGCCUAGAAAUAGCAUGCAAAAGCUUAAUAAAUAUGUGUGGUCACUUA